UCCGGGCACCAUAGUGCGUAUGAACCACCUGAUCCCAUCCCGAACUCAGUCGUGAAACUGCGUAACGCCGAUGAUAGUAUGACAGUUUGUUAUGCGAAAGUAGGUCAUGUCUGGAC
rnacentral:rRNA from 1 species